GACUGCGGAGGGAUCAUUACUGAGUUUACGCUCUAUAACCCUUUGUGAACAUACCUAUAACUGUUGCUUCGGCGGGUAGGGUCUCCGCGACCCUCCCGGCCUCCCGCCUCCGGGCGGGUCGGCGCCCGCCGGAGGAUAACCAAACUCUGAUUUAACGACGUUUCUUCUGAGUGGUACAAGCAAAUAAUCAAAACUUUUAACAACGGAUCUCUUGGUUCUGGCAUCGAUGAAGAACGCAGCGAAAUGCGAUAAGUAAUGUGAAUUGCAGAAUUCAGUGAAUCAUCGAAUCUUUGAACGCACAUUGCGCCCGCCAGCAUUCUGGCGGGCAUGCCUGUUCGAGCGUCAUUUCAACCCUCAAGCUCUGCUUGGUGUUGGGGCCCUACAGCUGAUGUAGGCCCUCAAAGGUAGUGGCGGACCCUCCCGGAGCCUCCUUUGCGUAGUAACUUUACGUCUCGCACUGGGAUCCGGAGGGACUCUUGCCGUAAAACCCCCCAAUUUUCCAAAGGUUGACCUCGGAUCAGGUAGGAAUACCCGCUGAACUUAAGCAUAUCAAUAAGCGGAGGA
rnacentral:rRNA from 1 species